rnacentral:rRNA from 1 species
AUUCCAGCUCCAAUAGCGUAUACUAAAGUUGUUGCAGUUAAAAAGCUCGUAGUUGAAUUUCUGGUCGUGGCGAUCGGUCCUCCCCUCACGGGGUGUGCACCUGGUCUCUACGUCCAUCCUCGGGGAGAGCAUGCCUGGCAUUCAGUUGUCGGGUAUGGGAUCCUCGUCAUUUACUGUGAGCAAAAUAGAGUGUUCAAAGCAGGCUUAGGCCGUUGAAUACAUUAGCAUGGAAUAAUAAGAUAGGACCUUGGUCUAUUUUGUUGGUUUGCAUUCCAAGGUAAUGAUUAAUAGGGAUAGUUGGGGGUAUUCGUAUUCAAUUGUCAGAGGUGAAAUUCUUGGAUUUAUGGAAGACGAACUACUGCGAAAGCAUUUACCAAGGAUGUUUUCAUCA